GAUGAACGCUGGCGGCGCGCCUAACACAUGUAAGUCGAACGAUUAAAGCACCUUCGGGUGUGUAUAAAGUGGCGAACGGCUGAGUAACACGUGGGCAACCUGCCCCUUUCAUUGGGAUAGCCACGGGAAACCGUGGAUAAUACCGAAUACUUCGAGACUUCCGCAUGGAAGACUCGAGAAAGCUCCGGCGGAGAGGGAUGGGCCCGCGGCCUGUUAGCUUGUUGGUGGGGUAACGGCCUACCAAGGCAAUGAUGGGUAGCUGGGUUGAGAGACCGACCAGCCAGAUUGGGACUGAGACACGGCCCAGACUCCUACGGGAGGCAGCAGUGGGGAAUCUUGCACAAUGGGCGAAAGCCUGAUGCAGCGACGCCGCGUGCGGGAUGAAGGCCUUCGGGUUGUAAACCGCUUUCAGCAGGGACGAGGCGAAAGUGACGGUACCUGCAGAAGAAGCCCCGGCUAACUACGUG
rnacentral:rRNA from 1 species